rnacentral:rRNA from 1 species
CUGUGAUUUAUUUAACGGCCGCGGUACCCUAACCGUGCAAAGGUAGCAUAAUCAAUUGUCCCUUAAAUUUGGACUAGUAUGAACGGCACCACGAGGGUUUAACUGUCUCCCUCCUUCAAUCAAUGAAAUUAAUCUUCCUGUGAAAAAGCAGGAAUAAAAUUAUAAGACGAAAAGACCCUAUGGAGCUUUAAACUUAUUACCACUUAUUUAGUUACAUAACAAUUUAAAUAAUAAGACUGUUCUUUAAUAGUUUUCGGUUGGGGCGACCCUGGAGAAAAAUAAAUCCUCCAGAUUGAAAAAUAACCCUUAUAUAAGAACCACAAUUCAAAUAAACAAAAAUUUGACAAAACUGACCCAGAAUAACUGAUCAGUGAACCAAGUUACCCUAGGGAUAACAGCGCUAUCCAUUUUGAGAGUCCGUAUUGACAAAUGGGUUUACGACCUCGAUGUUGGAUCGGGGUAUCCCAGCAGCGCAGCAGUUGCUAAUGGUUCGUUUGUUCAACGACUAACACCCCACGUGAUCUGAU